rnacentral:pre_miRNA from 1 species
UUUCCAUUAUAUGUAUGUCUCAUGCAAUAUUUGGGACAUACUUAUAUUAAAA